rnacentral:rRNA from 1 species
AACGAACGCUGGCGGCAUGCCUAACACAUGCAAGUCGAACGACACCUCAGGAACAGGUUGCUCUCGGGUGCGUAACGCGUGGGAACCUGCCCUUAGGCUCCGAAUAAUUCUCCGUAAGGGGUGAUAAUACCGGAUAAUGUAUUCGGAUCAAACAUUGAUCGCCCUUGGAUGGGCGCGCGUUGGUUUAACUGGUGGGUAGGGUAAAAGCCUAUCACGGCGAGGCUCCAUAGCUGGUCUGAGAGGAUGCUCAGCCACUCUGGGACGGAGACACGGCCCGGACUCCUACGGGAUGGAGCAGUGGCGGAUAUUGGACUAUGGGGUAAAUCCUGAUCCAGCAAUGGCGCUUGAGUGAUGAAGGCCGUAGAGAUGUGAAGCACUUUUACCCGGGAUGAUAAUGACGGUACCGGGAGAAUAAGCACCGGCUAACUCCGUG